UACGUAGGGCGCAAGCGUUGUCCGGAAUUAUUGGGCGUAAAGAGCUCGUAGGCGGCUUGUUGCGUCGAAUGUGAAAUCUCAGGGCUCAACUCUGACAUUGCAUUCGAUACGGGCAGGCUCGAGUUCGGUAGAGGAGACUGGAAUUCCUGGUGUAGCGGUGAAAUGCGCAGAUAUCAGGAAGAACACCCGUGGCUAAGGCGGCUCUCUAGUACGGUACUGACGCUGAGACGCGAAAGCGUGGGGAGCGAACAGG
rnacentral:rRNA from 1 species